rnacentral:rRNA from 1 species
GACGAACGCUGGCGGCGUGCUUAACACAUGCAAGUCGAACGGAAAGGCCCCUUUGGGGGUACUCGAGUGGCGAACGGGGGAGUAACACGUGAGUAACCUGCCCUUGACUUCGGGAUAACUUCAGGAAACUGGGGCCAAUACCGGAUAGGAAUCCUUGCUGCAUGGUGGGGGUUGGAAAGCUUCGGCGGUUUUGGAUGGACUCGCGGCUUAUCAGCUUGUUGGUGGGGUAGUGGCUUACCAAGGCUUUGACGGGUAGCCGGCCUGAGAGGGCGACCGGCCACAUUGGGACUGAGAGGAGGCCCAGACUCCUACGGGAGGCAGCAGGGGGGAAUAUUGCCCAAUGGGCGGAAGCCUGAUGCAGCAACGCCGCGUGCGGGAUGACGGCCUUCGGGUUGUAAACCGCUUUCAGCAGGGGCGAAGCUUGUGGUGACGGUACCUGCAGAAGAAGCACCGGCUAACUACGUG